CAUCAUUCUUUAACACCUUAUUUAAAGUCUAACUGUUUUCUCCUUAGUCACAGCUUGUUGUCUUCUUCGUCCUCCUGCUGCUGUUUCAUGAGAUAUAAACGCAGCCGUGGAGCCCUCCUCUUCAAGUAUGGAAAUUGUCUGAGGAAAGAGACGCCGGCCUGCCUGUCAUUAAAUCCUAGUCAUUCUCCACUGAUGAAGAAGGCGCUUUGGAUACAAAGAUCCUAACGAUGCAUGGAGACAAAUGAGAAGACGAGUGACUCCACGUUGCUUGGCAGGACCGAAGUCACAUAAUGCCACCUAUGCAGAGCGUGUCUGAACCAGGCCUGGGCAGUCCUGGGGAAAGGGCUUUGGGGCGGGGCCGGCACUGGAAUCACUGUCCCCUCCUCCACUGCCCAUCUCCCUCCACUGCUGACAAUCUCUGCACUGAAGUCUCUUGGAGCAUCUUCAAUGACUUUGAGAGCAAACACAUUUGUAAGUUGCAAAUUUGAAUCUGACAUUUAACUGGCAUUUUCCUGAAAGGCACCACAGUGGGGCAAUCUUCAUUUUCUCUGACUGUCUUUAAACAAUAAUUUUGAACAUCGAAAAAACAAGCUCUCUGUUUUGUUCUUAAAUUAUAACCUGAAAGUUUGGCCAAUCUUCCCUAAGGAUAUUGAUUUUCCUAGGAAAAUAAAAUGAAGGGG
rnacentral:lncRNA from 1 species